GUAGGUGGCAAGCGUUGUCCGGAAUUAUUGGGCGUAAAGCGCGCGCAGGCGGUUCUUUAAGUCUGAUGUGAAAGCCCACGGCUCAACCGUGGAGGGUCAUUGGAAACUGGAGAACUUGAGUACAGAAGAGGAAAGCGGAAUUCCACGUGUAGCGGUGAAAUGCGUAGAGAUGUGGAGGAACACCAGUGGCGAAGGCGGCUUUCUGGUCUGUAACUGACGCUGAGGCGCGAAAGCGUGGGGAGCAAACAGGGGGUUAGAUACCCUGGUAGUCCACGCCGUAAACGAUGAGUGCUAAGUGUUAGGGGGUUUCCCGCCCCUUAGUGCUGCAGCUAACGCAUUAAGCACUCCGCCUGGGGAGUACGGCCGCAAGGCUG
rnacentral:rRNA from 1 species